CGGGGUGUAGGAUAACGGUAGUCCGCGGCCUUGGGGUGGCUGUAGACGGGGUUCAAUUCCCCGCACCCCGA
rfam:Parcubacteria bacterium DG_74_2 WOR1_52_54_42, whole genome shotgun sequence.